CAUGAUUAGAUUGCAAUUUGCUCCGUUUUUGUCUUUUAUAACAUCGCAUUAAUUCUAUUUAUCUCUUUGCCCUCUCUUGCCUUAUCUUUUCCCAUUACAAAUAUGGCGGAUUAUGAGCUUUUCGGACCAAUUAGGACAUAUUAACUACGUUCUCCUUAUUGAAACUAACUAUGGUAAGGGUGUACCGCCCCUUUCCCGAACGGACACUAACCGGAAGUGAUGUUAUGACGCAAACCGGAAGUGACGUUCCGUUGUAAUGACGGAAGUCUCGUGAUUGCCACCGGCGUCCUGUCCAUGCGGCCAUUAUGAAGAGGUCAGUCCCCUAUGGAUAUCAGUGAGGACACAUCACAUAGCCACCAUACUGGAGGAGGAAUGGUACAAACGGAAAUACCAUAAAUGUACAUGUUGGGAGGGGUUUCUGUAAUUAUUUGCAUGUGUUUUGUAUUUUCACUCUGUUUGCAAGGUAUUUAAACCUGUUAUUUUCAUUUGAUUUUAUUGCACCUGGGGAAGACCAGUGUGUUGGUCGAAAUGUGCUGUGC